ACUCUUCUAGCUUAAAUUCAAGCAUAUCUCUGAAGAAGAUAAGAUCUUCAAGAGUA
rnacentral:tRNA from 2 species